ACUCCAGAAUCCACUCUGGCUGGAAUCCGGUGGAUACAGCAGUGUUACAGGUACAGUACGUGAUAUUAAGGGCAGGCGGUCAUCACUGGGGGAAGACAAGAAGCAGACGUACUUUCAAGAGGGAGCUGCAGUGAGGACACUGAGGUCAGAGGAGGCGCUGAAAGGUUUCACUAAUAGUUCCUGGUGAAUCAAAGCAGGACCAUAAAGGUUGCUGGACUGCAUGAUGGCCUUACCCCUGAGCAGUCAUCCUGUUAAAGGAGGAACCAGUUAGAAGCUGUUUUCAAAGUAGCUGAGCAGAUUUCACCUCAACAGACAAAGCCGAUGGCAGAAGAUGUUUGGAGAAGAACUUCAGGCCGUGUACUGACAAG